CCUACGGGUGGCAGCAGUGAGGAAUAUUGGUCAAUGGACGAGAGUCUGAACCAGCCAAGUAGCGUGAAGGAUGACUGCCCUAUGGGUUGUAAACUUCUUUUAUAUGGGAAUAAAACGUUCCACGUGUGGGAUUUUGUAUGUACCAUAUGAAUAAGGAUCGGCUAACUCCGUGCCAGCAGCCGCGGUAAUACGGAGGAUCAGAGCUUUAUCCGGAUUUAUUGGGUUUAAAGGGAGCGUAGGUGGAUUGUUAAGUCAGUUGUGAAAGUUUGCGGCUAAACCGUAAAAUUGCAGUUGAAACUGGCAGUCUUGAGUACAGUAGAGGUGGGCGGAAUGCGUGGUGUAGCGGUGAAAUGCUUAGAUAUCACGAAGAACUCCGAUUGCGAAGGCAGUUCACUGGACUGCAACUGACACUGAGGCUCGAAAGUGUGGGUAUCAAACAGGAUUAGAUACCCCGGUAGUC
rnacentral:rRNA from 1 species